rnacentral:rRNA from 1 species
ACCCUGGACGAUGAUGUGGUAACGGAGAUCCUCCUCAGGCUACCGUGUACCUCUGUGCUCCGCUCCCGGGCCGUCUGCAAGGCGUGGCACCGCAUCACCACCGACCCCUCGUUCCUCGCAGCCCACGCCGAGCGGCGCCCAGCCGAGCUGCUCGUCGUGUCACGAGAACCUGAAUCUGAAUGGGCUUACCAAGAUCGUGUCGACACAAUCCCGCUCUCUCUCCGAGCCGACGACGGCCCGGCGGGGUGCCAGCGUGAGCUCUAUUAUCCCGAGCAUUGUGAUGUUCACUUGCUGGUGGGUUGCUGCGAUGGGCUCCUGCUGUUCCUGCUGGACAGAUUCCCUCCAGGCCAGUGCUGCUCCUAUUUCUUCGUGUGCAACCCGGUGACCAGGCAGGGGACAUGGCUAGACCUGAUGCCGCCGGCUUGCCACGGCAACCUGCGGGUGCUCUGCGGCUUCUACCGCCACGGCCCGUCCGUCGAGCACCGGUUUCUCGUCCUGGCCAAUGAACCACGAAGCCCGAAUAGCCUGAUGACCAACAUGGACCUCUUCACUGGCUCCGCCGCGCACUAUGUUUUCAAUUUUGCAGCCGCCACCGUGUCCUCAGAGGCUCCUCGCCGGCUGGGACCGGUGCCCGGAAACGUAGUCGUCAACCCCUACGGCUCCGAGAACCAGGUCCCCAGCCACCUCUACCAUCGGGGGAAGCUUCACUGGACGACGCAUCCUCAGGCCACGAGCAUGGGCAAGAUCUUGGCGUUCGACACACUGUCCGAGGAAUUCCGGCUAAUAUCGUGCCCGGAGUGGCCAAGGGGCCAAUACUCCUACCUGAACGACCUCUGCCUCAUGGAGUUGCACGGCAGGCUAGCCAUAACAACCACUCUACUCUGUGGCGAGUUCAUGGAGGUCUGGGUGCUCGAGAACUACGACGACGACCGGAGCUGGUCACACCGUUUCCGGAUCCAACUGCCGCCGCCGUUCUGUGUACGUUGGACGAUGGGCACCGGUAUCCCUAACGUCAUUCUGGUGGGAGGCUACAUGGAAAAAUUAGCUGCGGUAUACCAUCUUACCGACAAGUGGAGCGUAGAGAAGAUAGGGUUUAUCAACAGCAACACAUCGGCUCGUCACUUUCUCUUCAAGGAGAGCCUUGCGCCACACCCCUUUUUU